rnacentral:tRNA from 1 species
GGAUGUGGCUCAAUGGUAGAAUUCUUGCUUUACAUGCAUAAGGUCCUGGGUUCGAUCCCCAGCACCA